rnacentral:rRNA from 1 species
AUUGAACGCUGGCGGCAGGCCUAACACAUGCAAGUCGAGCGAGCGGCGGAUGCGUGUGAAUUGUAUGGGGACUGCCCGAUAGAGGGGGAUAACAAUUGGAAACGGGAGCUAAUAUCGCGUAUUCCCUCAUAACCCACAUGGGAUUAGCUGGUUGGUGGGGUAAUGGCUCCCCAAGGCGACGAUCCCUAGCUGGUCUGAGAGGAUGAUCAGCCACACUGGAACUGAGACACGGCCCAGACUCCUACGGAGGCAGCAGUGGGGAAUAUUGCACAAUGGGCGCAAGCCUGAUGCAGCCAUGCCGCGUGUAUGAAGAAGGCCCUAGGGUUGUAAAGUACUUUCAGUCGGGAGGUGUUACCGACAGAAGAAGCACCGGCUAACUCCGUGCCAGCAGCCGCGGUAAUAC